CUUGUAAUCGUCCCACCGCGCCUUCGAUUCCGACGGCUUCUUCACCUCGAACAGAUACAUGUCGUGCACCAUGCGCCCGUCUUCCCGGAUCUUGCCGUUCUUGGCGAACAUGUCGUUGAUCGGCGUCGACUUCAUGACCUUCAUCACGGCUGCUGAAUCGGUCGUGCCCGCCUCCUUCACCGCCUUGAGGUAAUGCGUGACGGAUGAAUAGACCCCGGCCUGCGCCGA
rnacentral:misc_RNA from 1 species